UGGGGAAUAUUGCACAAUGGGCGCAAGCCUGAUGCAGCCAUGCCGCGUGUAUGAAGAAGGCCUUCGGGUUGUAAAGUACUUUCAGCGGGGAGGAAGGGAGUAAAGUUAAUACCUUUGCUCAUUGACGUUAUCCGCAGAAGAAGCACCGGCUAACUCCGUGCCAGCAGCCGCGGUAAUACGGAGGGUGCAAGCGUUAAUCGGAAUUACUGGGCGUAAAGCGCACGCAGGCGGUUUGUUAAGUCAGAUGUGAAAUCCCCGGGCUCAACCUGGGAACUGCAUUCGAAACUGGCAGGCUAGAGUCUUGUAGAGGGGGGUAGAAUUCCAGGUGUAGCGGUGAAAUGCGUAGAGAUCUGGAGGAAUACCGGUGGCGAAGGCGGCCCCCUGGACAAAGACUGACGCUCAGGUGCGAAAGCGUGGGGAGCAAACAGG
rnacentral:rRNA from 1 species